UGCCACAGAGGGAAGAACCAAGCAACCAGCAGCAAUAGCACAUGGGUGGGGUUUAGACUAGGACCUUGCGCCUUGACUUCCUUGUUUUCCCUAGUCAUGAGUCACUCUUGGAAGGAUCUUUUAGAUGGUGGGGGGUGGGAGAUUGACUACCAAAUGAUGAUGAAGUGGCAGCUUAAAGGAAAUGGGUGAAGGGAAGGGUGUUGCUGAGUGGUGGUCGUUUGAUGCCAUCUGUUUUGUGUAUUUUUUUGUGGGGAAAAUUUUGGUCAAUUUCCCAUAAUACAUUUGAGGGUCUCUUGGGAAUUGUAUGGUGAUGGAGGAGGCGUGAGGAAAUGGGUCAUUUGAGAGAAGAAAAUCAAACAAAAAUGCAAGGCAUUCGAUUUCCAUC